AGCGGUAACACAAGGGAGCUUGCUCCUGAGGUGACGAGCGGCGGACGGGUGAGUAAUGCCUAGGGAUCUGCCCAGUCGAGGGGGAUAACAGUUGGAAACGACUGCUAAUACCGCAUACGCCCUACGGGGGAAAGGAGGGGACCUUCGGGCCUUCCGCGAUUGGAUGAACCUAGGUGGGAUUAGCUAGUUGGUGAGGUAAUGGCUCACCAAGGCGACGAUCCCUAGCUGUUCUGAGAGGAUGAUCAGCCACACUGGGACUGAGACACGGCCCAGACUCCUACGGGAGGCAGCAGUGGGGAAUAUUGCACAAUGGGGGAAACCCUGAUGCAGCCAUGCCGCGUGUGUGAAGAAGGCCUUCGGGUUGUAAAGCACUUUCAGUAGGGAGGAAAGGUAAUAUUUUAAUAAACUAUUACUGUGACGUUACCUACAGAAGAAGGACCGGCUAACUCCGUGCCAGCAGCCGCGGUAAUACGGAGGGUCCGAGCGUUAAUCGGAAUUACUGGGCGUAAAGCGUGCGCAGGCGGUUUGUUAAGCCAGAUGUGAAAUCCCCGGGCUCAACCUGGGAAUUGCAUUUGGAACUGGCGAACUAGAGUCUUGUAGAGGGGGGUAGAAUUCCAGGUGUAGCGGUGAAA
rnacentral:rRNA from 1 species